rnacentral:rRNA from 1 species
UGAGUAACACGUGAGUAACCUGCCCUUGACUCUGGGAUAAGCCUGGGAAACCGGGUCUAAUACCGGAUAUGACCUGUCACCGCAUGGUGGUGGGUGGAAAGCUUUUUUGUGGUUUUGGAUGGACUCGCGGCCUAUCAGCUUGUUGGUGAGGUAAUGGCUUACCAAGGCGACGACGGGUAGCCGGCCUGAGAGGGUGACCGGCCACACUGGGACUGAGACACGGCCCAGACUCCUACGGGAGGCAGCAGUGGGGAAUAUUGCACAAUGGGCGCAAGCCUGAUGCAGCGACGCCGCGUGAGGGAUGAAGGCCUUCGGGUUGUAAACCUCUUUCAGUAGGGAAGAAGCGAAAGUGACGGUACCUGCAGAAGAAGCGCCGGCUAACUACGUGCCAGCAGCCGCGGUAAUACGUAGGGCGCAAGCGUUAUCCGGAAUUAUUGGGCGUAAAGAGCUCGUAGGCGGUUUGUCGCGUCUGCCGUGAAAGUCCGGGGCUCAACUCCGGAUCUGCGGUGGGUACGGGCAGACUAGAGUGAUGUAGGGGAGACUGGAAUUCCUGGUGUAGCGGUGAAAUGCGCAGAUAUCAGGAGGAACACCGAUGGCGAAGGCAGGUCUCUGGGCAUUAACUGACGCUGAGGAGCGAAAGCAUGGGGAGCGAACAGGAUUAGAUACCCUGGUAGUCCAUGCCGUAAACGUUGGGCACUAGGUGUGGGGGACAUUCCACGUUUUCCGCGCCGUAGCUAACGCAUUAAGUGCCCCGCCUGGGGAGUACGGCCGCAAGGCUAAAACUCAAAGGAAUUGACGGGGGCCCGCACAAGCGGCGGAGCAUGCGGAUUAAUUCGAUGCAACGCGAAGAACCUUACCAAGGCUUGACAUGAACCGGAAACGCCUGGAAGACAGGUGCCCCCGCUUGCGGCCGGUUUACAGGGGGGUGCAUGGGUUGUCGUCAGCUCCGGGCGUGAGAUGUUGGGUUAAGUGCCGCAACGAGCGCAACCCUCGUUCUAUGUUGCCAGCGCGUGAUGGCGGGGACUCAUAGGAGACUGCCGGGGUCAACUCGGAGGAAGGUGGGGACGACGUCAAAUCAUCAUGCCCCUUAUGUCUUGGGCUUCACGCAUGCUACAAUGGCCGGUACAAAGGGUUGCGAUACUGUGAGGUGGAGCUAAUCCCAAAAAGCCGGUCUCAGUUCGGAUUGGGGUCUGCAACUCGACCCCAUGAAGUCGGAGUCGCUAGU